UAGGGGAUAUUGCAAAAUGGGCGAAAGCCUGAUGCAGCAACGCCGCGUGAGUGAUGAAGGCCUUCGGGUCGUAAAACUCUUUUCGACGGGAUGAGGAAGGACAGUACCGUUGGAAUAAGCCUCGGCUAACUACGUGCCAGCAGCCGCGGUAAAACGUAGGAGGCGAGCGUUAUCCGGAUUUACUGGGUGUAAAGCGCGUGCAGGCGGUUCAGAAAGUUGGAUGUAAAAGCUCCCGGCUCAACUGGGAGAGGUCGUUCAAAACUACUGGACUAGAGGAUGGUAGAGGGAGGUGGAAUUCCGGGUGUAGUGGUGAAAUGCGUAGAUAUCCGGAGGAACACCAGUGGCGAAAGCGGCCUCCUGGGCCAUAACUGACGCUCAGACGCGAAAGCUAGGGUAGCAAACGGG
rnacentral:rRNA from 1 species